rnacentral:rRNA from 1 species
UACGUAGGGUCCAAGCGUUGUCCGGAUUUAUUGGGCGUAAAGAGCUCGUAGGCGGCUCAGUAAGUCGGAUGUGAAAACUCGGGGCUCAACCCCGAGACGCCAUCCGAUACUGCUGUGGCUUGAGUCUGGUAGGGGAACACGGAAUUCCUGGUGUAGCGGUGAAAUGCGCAGAUAUCAGGAGGAACACCAAUGGCGAAGGCAGCUCGCUGGGACGGUACUGACGCUGAGACGCGAAAGCGUGGGGAGCGAACAGG